GCCUUUAUAGUAUAAAACUAUUACUCUGGUCUUGUAAACCAGCAAUGAGAAGCCAACUCUCUCUAAGGGCA
rnacentral:tRNA from 1 species